rnacentral:rRNA from 1 species
CCUACGGGAGGCAGCAGUGGGGGAUAUUGCACAAUGGGGGAAACCCUGAUGCAGCGACGCCGCGUGGGUGAAGAAGCGCCUCGGCGCGUAAAGCCCUGUCAGUAGGGAAGAAAAUGACGGUACCUGAAGAAGAAGCCCCGGCUAACUACGUGCCAGCAGCCGCGGUAAUAUGUAGGGGGCAAGCGUUAUCCGGAUGUACUGGGUGUAAAGGGGGCGCAGACGGCGAUGCAAGCCAGGAGUGAAAGGCCGGGGCCCAACCCCGGGACUGCUCUUGGAACUGCGUGGCUAGAGUGCAGGAGGGGCAGGCGGAAUUCCUGGUGUAGCGGUGAAAUGCGUAGAUAUCAGGAGGAACACCGGUGGCGAAGGCGGCCUGCUGGACUGCAACUGACGUUGAGGCCCGAAGGCGUGGGGAGCAAACAGGAUUAGAUACCCGAGUAGUC